rnacentral:lncRNA from 1 species
CCAGGGGUCACUUCUGGACUUGCAAGUUUAGGUAGUUAAACUCACCUGAUGAGGGGGGAAGGGAGGCAGACAGGCUGGAAGGCAGCUGAGAUAUUUUGUGGCCACCCCACAGGGUCACAGUGCUCCCUGGAACCCCAUACUUACUCUGAAGACAGCACCCCACCAUGUACCCCUUCCUUCUGCCAUGGCCACAUGAGCCUGCAAGAGCUGCCAGGCUGACAUGGGGCUUUCUGGCCACAGUGACUGAUCCAGGGAUGGGAAGAGAUGUAGCCUUGGCGUUGGAAGUUUUCAAGUCUUGGGUAUGUCUGCAUGCACAGUAUUGGCAGCGUGAAAAUGGACUUCAAAGGAGGAAUGUGUCACUAUGAGCUCUCUGCCAUGUGAGGGCGCCAUCCCACAAGGGAAGGAGAGGAGAGCUGGCUGGACAGCAGCACUCAUGUACAGAAUGCCAGUGGUCCCGUGGUACAGGCUGUCAUGGAAAUGCAGAGCAGAGCCACAUAUGGCCA